rnacentral:rRNA from 1 species
UACGAAGGGGGCUAGCGUUGUUCGGAAUUACUGGGCGUAAAGCGUGCGCAGGCGGCUUCUCAAGUCAGGGGUGAAAGCCCAGAGCUCAACUCUGGAAUUGCCUUUGAGACUGAGUGGCUUGAGUACGGGAGAGGUGAGUGGAAUCCCCAGUGUAGAGGUGAAAUUCGUAGAUAUUCGCAAGAACACCAGUGGCGAAGGCGGCUCACUGGCCCGGUACUGACGCUGAGGUGCGAAAGCGUGGGGAGCAAACAGG